GCGGACGGGUGAGUAACGCGUGGGUAACCCUGCCCUAUACACAUGGAUAACAUACUGAAAAGUUUACUAAUACAUGAUAAUAUAUAUUUGCGGCAUCGCAGAUAUAUCAAAGUGUUAGCGGUAUAGGAUGGACCCGCGUCUGAUUAGCUAGUUGGUGAGAUAACUGCCCACCAAGGCGACGAUCAGUAGCCGACCUGAGAGGGUGAUCGGCCACAUUGGAACUGAGACACGGUCCAAACUCCUACGGGAGGCAGCAGUGGGGAAUAUUGCACAAUGGGCGAAAGCCUGAUGCAGCAACGCCGCGUGAACGGUGAAGGUCUUCGGAUCGUAAAGUUCUGUUGCAGGGGAAGAUAAUGACGGUACCCUGUGAGGAAGCCCCGGCUAACUACGUGCCAGCAGCCGCGGUAAUACGUAGGGGGCUAGCGUUAUCCGGAUUUACUGGGCGUAAAGGGUGCGUAGGUGGUCCUUCAAGUCGGUGGUUAAAGGCUACGGCUCAACCGUAGUAAGCCGCCGAAACUGGAGGACUUGAGUGCAGGAGAGGAAAGUGGAAUUCCCAGUGUAGCGGUGAAAUGCGUAGAUAUUGGGAGGAACACCAGUAGCGAAGGCGGCUUUCUGGACUGCAACUGACACUGAGGCACGAAAGCGUGGGUAGCAAACAGGAUUAGAUACCCUGGUAGUCCACGCUGUAAACGAUGAGUACUAGGUGUCGGGGGUUACCCCCCUCGGUGCCGCAGCUAACGCAUUAAGUACUCCGC
rnacentral:rRNA from 1 species